UGAACUACAUGGAAUUACAUGUUGGACCAUAGCCUAGAAUCAGUGCUCCAGCUAUUCACGUGCCUUUCUGCAACUGCCAAGGUCAUACCUCUGUCUCUUGGUAUAGGAAAUUUAAUCCAAAGAACAGCAAACAAGCUUGCUCAGGACAUAGCAGUUCACUAUCAAGAAAGGUCACAAGCCUGUUUUCUAACAGCCACACUGGUAGAAGACAGAUCUUCUAAUAAAGAGGUGCCAAGCAGAGGACUUCCCCCUUGUGAAGUGGGGUAAUAGAGGCUAUGGAGGAAUAAAUGGCAAGUUCAAGAUUAGCCCCAUCAUUGUGAAAGAAAGAAAUGAAUUGGAAUGUAACUUUCAGGCACUAAAAUGAUUCAAGAAAUUCAACUGUUUAAGUAGGUGAAGUUAUCUAAUUGGAGAUACUUAGACUUCUCAUCAUUUAUACUUGCUUAUUCAUGAAAUACAAAUUUAAGGGAUAAAGCUGCCUGUACAAUUUAAUAAAUAGGCUCUCUCUUGCCCUGACACAGCAAUCAUGGAAGCACUUGUUAUGGAAGUGCCACAUGACUGAAUUAGCCUGGGGUUCUGAGCUCCCACAUGGAAGACAGCUGCCUUGGAAAGUUGCCUGUACCCUCAACAGACCUUGAGAGAGCAAAUAAAUAAACUGUCGUGUAUUAAGCCACUGGGAUUUGGUGGUGUUUGUUUCCAAAUCAUACUGUAACCUAUCUUGACUGAUAUGCCAACCACUAAAAAACUGUUAAUAUAUUUAUAUUUAACCAUCCAGUGUUAUUUUCUAUGUAUAGAUAUGUAUAGAAAUUUGAAUCUUGCUACACAUGCUGUUUUUGUAACAUUUU
rnacentral:lncRNA from 10 species